GAUGAACGCUGGCGGCGUGCCUAAUACAUGCAAGUCGAGCGAACAGACGAGGAGCUUGCUCCUUUGACGUUAGCGGCGGACGGGUGAGUAACACGUGGGUAACCUACCUAUAAGACUGGGAUAACUUCGGGAAACCGGAGCUAAUACCGGAUAAUAUUUCGAACCGUAUGGUUCGAUAGUGAAAGAUGGCUUUGCUAUCACUUAUAGAUGGACCUGCGCCGUAUUAGCUAGUUGGUAAGGUAACGGCUUACCAAGGCAACGAUACGUAGCCGACUUGAGAGGGUGAUCGGCCACACUGGAACUGAGACACGGUCCAGACUCCUACGGGAGGCAGCAGUAGGGAAUCUUCCGCAAUGGGCGAAAGCCUGACGGAGCAACGCCGCGUGAGUGAUGAAGGUCUUCGGAUCGUAAAACUCUGUUAUUAGGGAAGAACAAACGUGUAAGUAACUGUGCACGUCUUGACGGUACCUAAUCAGAAAGCCACGGCUAACUACGUG
rnacentral:rRNA from 1 species